AAAAAUGGGCGGGGAGAGAAGACCCUAUUGGGCUUGACUCUAAUCUGGCAGUGUAAGGAGACGUAAGAGAUGUAGAAUAACUGGAAGAUAUUGUUUCUCGGUUUGAUUAUCGCCAAUGAAUACCACUACUCACUAUACGGAUAUAUUUAUACAAAUUUUGUUUAUAUAACCAAUACUUCGAAUUUGGUAUAAUUCUCAAUACUCAAGUACGAUCCAAUUCAAGAACUUUGUCAGAUAGAGAUAUUAACGGAGGUGUCCCAAGGCCACGUCACUGCGGACGGAAACCACACAUAGAACAAAAGGACAAAAGCUGACUUGAUCUGGUCAGUUUCCAGUACACAUAGGGACAGCAAAAGCUCGGCCUGUCGAUCCUUUUGUUUCAACGAGUUUGCAACGAGAGAUAUUAGAGAAGUUAACACUGGGUUACCUGGCUUGUGGCGGCCAAGCGUUCAUAGCGGCGUAGCUUUUUGAUCCUUUGAUAUCGGCUCUUGCUAUCAUUGUGAAGCAAAAUACACCAAGCAUUGGAUUUUUCACCUAUGCAAGCGAACGUGGGCUGGGUUUAGACCAUCAUGCGGCAGAUUAGUUUUACGCUACUAAUGGCAAAGUGUUGUUGCGACAGCAUUCCUCCGUAGUAAGAACCAAUGGCAUACUACUUGUUCGGCCGUAUAGUGAUACGAGGCUACAUCCGUUUGAUUAUACCCGAACGCCUAUAAAGUCGUAUCCGAGUUGGACUGCAAUGAUGGGACAUUUGCAUUAUGCGUAGCUUUUAAAUUACACGAUCAACGACUAUGGGAUGUGACGUCUAUGUUUUAUUGUAAUAUAACAAAUGCACGGCAAUGUAAACACUAUUUGAUACAAUGGCAAUGCCUAAACUCAAUUG
rnacentral:ncRNA from 1 species